UCCCUGGUGGCUCAGACGGUAAAGAAUCUGCCUGCAAUGCAGGAGACCCAGGUUCAAUCCCUGGAUCGGGAA
rnacentral:tRNA from 1 species